AGCUGUCGCCUCACGGGGCGUUUCCUCCCUAGACUUUGACCGCGUUGGUUUUCCGUCGCGGUUUCUUUUUGCCUUCU
rnacentral:sRNA from 20 species